rnacentral:rRNA from 1 species
UUGGAAAUUUGAGGUGUGGUGUCCUUAGUGUGGGAGGACCGGGAUGGACUUACGUCUGUUGUACCAGUUGUUCUGCGAAGGGCAUUGCUGGGUAGAUAUGUAGGGAAGGGAUGAACGCUGAAAGCAUGUAAGUGUGGAGCCUACCUCAAGAUGGGAUUUCCCAUUUCUUUAAGAAAGUAAGAUCCCUGAGAGAUGAUCAGGUAGAUAGGUCAGGAGUGGAAGUACAGUGAUGUCUGUAGCUCACUGAUUCUAUUCUUUCCUUCACUUAUCC